rnacentral:rRNA from 1 species
GAUGAACGCUGGCGGCGUGCCUAAUACAUGCAAGUCGAGCGAACAGACGAGGAGCUUGCUCCUCUGACGUUAGCGGCGGACGGGUGAGUAACACGUGGAUAACCUACCUAUAAGACUGGGAUAACUUCGGGAAACCGGAGCUAAUACCGGAUAACAUGUUGAACCGCAUGGUUCAACAGUGAAAGGCGGUCUUGCUGUCACUUAUAGAUGGAUCCGCGCCGCAUUAGCUAGUUGGUAAGGUAACGGCUUACCAAGGCAACGAUGCGUAGCCGACCUGAGAGGGUGAUCGGCCACACUGGAACUGAGACACGGUCCAGACUCCUACGGGAGGCAGCAGUAGGGAAUCUUCCGCAAUGGGCGAAAGCCUGACGGAGCAACGCCGCGUGAGUGAAGAAGGUCUUCGGAUCGUAAAACUCUGUUAUUAGGGAAGAACAAAUGUGUAAGUAACUAUGCACGUCUUGACGGUACCUAAUCAGAAAGCCACGGCUAACUACGUG